GGAGAGGUGUCAGAGUGGUUGUAAUGUGCCGGUUUUGAAAACCGGUGUGGCCCCAAGCCACCGAGGGUUCGAAUCCCUCUCUCUCCG
rnacentral:tRNA from 3 species